CCCGACCCCGGGGUCGCGCCUAGGGUACAAGACCGGGAACAGCAACGGCUGGCGGGAACGACCAAGAGCCCAGCGCAAUCCGCAAUCUGGCUUUGCUGGACGAAGCCAAAAGCCGAACCCACACUGGGACAGUGAAGGAUGAUAAUGGGAACAGGACGUCAAGGACGCUUCCAGCACGGAAGGAGUAUUUCUAUUUACCAAGAGCCCUAAAGAAUGUUGACCAUGAAGACAGGCAUCCUGUGACUGUCCACUAAAAAGUGACCAUCACAAGAUAAUGAUCGUGGGACUGAAAGAUGUUUCCCUGCUCCCAGCCCCUCACCCUUUGGAAAAGUGCCUUUAUAAGCUGCACAUGUUGGGGGGGGGGGUGGCAACAUUCCUCUUUCUUGUUGGCUCCCCUGAGAUAGUACAAGCUAUCUCUAAUAAACUCUGCCUGUUUUCUUU